UGUUACAGCCAGGCUCAACUGAGCCCCGGGAGGACAGGGCAGCUCUGAGAUUCUCUGGGCUCCUGUGUUUGAGCAUUGAGAAGACUGAGAGAACAAAUCAACUAAGGGUUACCAGCUGUUGUUUCUAAUAGCUGUCCAGCUAACGGGCACAUCAUCAGGAUGAGCCGCAUCAUUCUCCUAUUUACCUGCUCUGCCAAGCACUGAAGGCUUCAAACUCUAAUUUAAAGACGCUAA